AACAUUUAAAGCAUUCUUUAUGCACUGUAAACAUCUGACAUUGUCUUUUUCAGUUUGCAGAACAUCUUCUUUCAGAUGAAGAAAUAGAUUUAUCAGCAAAGGCGAAUGAUGUAAAUAGGUACAGGCUGCAAAUUGCCACCACACUUCUAUUAGAAACUGAUGAUUUAUCUAACUUGUGCUGUGUUUGUGGGGAAGCUACACAUGACACAGACAACAGAUGGAUUCAGUGUGACGAGUGUUGCAGGUGGUUCCAUCUUGUAUGUGUCGGGGAGCCUCCAACCGAAGGCUCUUUUUUGUGUACAGCAUGUACAGAAAUUAAAUGCUAAAUAUUUGAAGCUUGCUUGAAGACCAUUUUGCUUUUUUUAAAUUAAAAUUUGUAUUUUUUCAUUUUAUUUUAUUAUUUAAAAAAAAAAAAAACAUUUUUUUUUUCUUAAUAAAGUUCAAAGUUAUAAUUUUUGAUGUAUGUUAUGUGAUUAAGAAACAAAGUUGUUUGACCAAAAUAAGGCCAAAGAAAUUGAUAAAGUGCAGUAAUAAUGGUAUCACUGCACAAAUCAUCAGAAAAAAACGGCUGGAGUCCAGCACUCACCGUUCUCAAAAUAAGGGGGGGGAACAUAUUCUCACGGGGCA